rnacentral:piRNA from 1 species
UGCUUUCUAUUCUUGUGGGAA